rnacentral:rRNA from 1 species
GAUGAACGCGGCGGCGUGCCUAAUACAUGCAAGUAGAACGCUGAAGCUUGGUGCUUGCACCGAGCGGAUGAGUUGCGAACGGGUGAGUAACGCGUAGGUAACCCGCCUCUUAGCGGGGGAUAACUAUUGGAAACGAUAGCUAAUGCCGCAUAAAAGUCGACAUCGCAUGAUGUUGACUUGAAAGGUGCAAUUGCAUCACUAAGAGAUGGACCUGCGUUGUAUUAGCUAGUUGGUGAGGUAACGGCUCACCAAGGCGACGAUACAUAGCCGACCUGAGAGGGUGAUCGGCCACACUGGGACUGAGACACGGCCCAGACUCCUACGGGAGGCAGCAGUAGGGAAUCUUCGGCAAUGGGGGCAACCCUGACCGAGCAACGCCGCGUGAGUGAAGAAGGUUUUCGGAUCGUAAAGCUCUGUUGUAAGAGAAGAACGAGUGUGAGAGUGGAAAGUUCACACUGUGACGGUAACUUACCAGAAAGGGACGGCUAAUUACGUGCCAGCAGCCGCGGUAAUACGUAGGUCCCGAGCGUUAUCCGGAUUUAUUGGGCGUAAAGCGAGCGCAGGCGGUUAGAUAAGUCUGAAGUUAAAGGCUGUGGCUUAACCAUAGUACGCUUUGGAAACUGUUUAACUUGAGUGCAGAAGGGGAGAGUGGAAUUCCAUGUGUAGCGGUGAAAUGCGUAGAUAUAUGGAGGAACACCGGUGGCGAAAGCGGCUCUCUGGUCUGUAACUGACGCUGAGGCUCGAAAGCGUGGGGAGCAAACAGG